AGACAUAAAAGCAGAAUUAAGAGCUGACCAUGAAGGUCACACACACAUUCAUUCAUUACAAUAAUUCAUGCCAAAGAAAUCAGUCAGUAAAAGCAUCCCAGCUAACAGGGAACAUUCUCAGAACUUUGACAAAUGUUCUGGCAAGGUUCUCUCAAAGUUACAAGCAAACAUUCUUUCAGAAACGUUAAUAGAAUGUUUGUUUAAAGUUAUCUGGUCUUUAAGAAUGUUCUCAAAGUGUUAGCACAAAAACAUUAUUUAUACUUUGUUCAUGGAAGAUUAUUUUUCUGAAACGUUUUAGUGGGAUGUUCAUCUAACGUUUUUACAUGUUACUAUUUGUUUCAGAAUGUUAAAAGAACAUUCAAACGUAGCGUUCCAUAAUGUUUGGAGAAUGAUAAAAUGGAAUGUCUCCUUAAUGUUCACAUAACCGCGAAAAAACGUUUUUAAAACAUUUUAAAAAUGGACAUUCAGAAAUGUUUUCAUAAUCUCUGUUUUUAGAACCUAUUUUUGUUAGCUGGGAUCCUCCCAAAACACACUCUUAAUGUCAAAAAUGCAACCAUUACAGAAUAUACACUGCCGUUCAAAAAUUUGGGAUCGGUAAGAUUUUUUAAUGUUUUUAAAAGAAGUCUCUUCUACUCACUAAGGCUGCAUUUAUUUGAUCCAAAAUACAGCAAAAACAGCAAUAUUGUGAAAUAUCAUUACGAUUUAAAUACUUUGAAUGUUGCGAUCCUGUCGGACUUAUGAUAGCUACCUGAAUCGUAACAAAGCACUGUUGGCCAGAGGAGAACUGGCCCCCUGACUAAGCCUGGUUUCUCCCAAGGUUUUUUUCUCCAUUUUAACACCAAUUUGCCACUUGUCUGCCACCUGAUGUCACCUGAUGGAGUUUGGGUUCCUUGCCGCUGUCGCCUCUGGCUUGCUUAGUUGGGGACACUUGACAUUUGACUUGACAUUUGAUAUUCAACAGUGCUUUGAUCUGCCUGCAUUGACACUAUUCUUUAAGAGCUGCUGUGCAGCCAAAUAAUGUACCAGUUAUCAAUGUAAAGCUGCUUUGACACAAUCUACAUUGUAAAAAGCGCUAUAUAAAUAAAGGUGACUUGACUUGA